GUUUGUUCAAUGCAAAAGAACUUUCAUAAAAUUGAUCAUACUAGUAAAUAUCAAAAUGAAAUAGACUUCCUACUGCUUCACAAAUAAGAAAAUCCAAGCUAUAAAGUAAUAUAAAAUUCCAAAAGAUAACAAAAAUAACAAGAAUAUCAUUAUCAAAAUUUCUCAGUACUGAUACCCAUUGUCGAAAUUGCCAAGUAAUUGAAAAAUAUAUAUAUUUUUUCCUUGAUUGCAUCUGGCAUAUAAGUUGUUCAUAAAUGAAUUGCUUCACCUAUUUAUCCUAUACUUACGCAAGCUUUUCUUACUUAUGACGGCAUCUUUUAUGUUAAUUCACUUGCUGGUUUAAUGAUUCCAGCACUACUGAACUAAUAUGACUUCUUUCAUAAAAAAAUGAACUUACCCACAAAUUGAAAUAUAUAAGUAAAACCAAAACAGAAACUAAGACCAGAAACACCAGCUGGAAGAAGAAGAAGAAGAAGA
rnacentral:misc_RNA from 1 species